GAUGAAGAACGUAGCGAAAUGCGAUACUUGGUGUGAAUUGCAGAAUCCCGUGAACCAUCGAGUCUUUGAACGCAAGUUGCGCCUCAAGCCAUUAGGUUGAGGGCACGUCUGCCUGGGCGUCACAUAUCGUUGCCUGAUGCCAGUUUCCUCGUGAUGGGUGACUGUGCAGGGCGAAUGAUGGCUUCCCGUGAGCAUUGUUGCCUCAUGGUUGGUUGAAAAUUGAGUCCUUGGUAGGGAGCGCCGUGAUAGAUGGUGGUUGAGUGACGAACGAGACCCAAUCAUGUGAGACCCCUACCGAAUAUGGCCUUCAUGACCCACAUGCGUCUUUGGAACGCUCAUGACGAGACCUCAGGUCAGGCGGGGCUACCCGCUGAGUUUAAGCAUAUCAAUAAGCGGAGGA
rnacentral:misc_RNA from 1 species